rnacentral:lncRNA from 1 species
UGGUGAUUCGUGUGAGAAGCGCGAUGAGAUCUUUGUUUAACACGAAUCUCGAAGUCUGGAUCAGCAUAGGAUAAUUCUGAUUUAUGGAAAAUUCUAUUUCAUGGAUGGCAUGCAAGAAGUUGCUGCUGCAGUGCUACCUACCUGUGAGCAGGGGAAGAUGGUGGAUGGUGCAUGACCUUAGGUGUUACGAUUCCUGAGGUAACAUCGUUGACGCAAUCUCAUAGGCAUAAACUUUCAUGCAGGAUGUAGGCUUGAAAUUUACAUUGUUCAUGUACAGAGGCGGCUCAAUACAUUCUGGGGCCCAAGACGAAUCUAAUGAAUGUGGCCUCUUUU